CUACGGGAGGCAGCAGUGAGGAAUAUUGCACAAUGGGGGGAACCCUGAUGCAGCAACGCCGCGUGGAGGAUGACGCAUUUCGGUGUGUAAACUCCUUUUAUAUGUCAAGAAAAUGACGGUAGCAUAUGAAUAAGCACCGGCUAACUCCGUGCCAGCAGCCGCGGUAGUACGGAGGGUGCAAGCGUUACUCGGAAUCACUGGGCGUAAAGGACGCGUAGGCGGGUUGGAAAGUCAGGUGUGAAAUCCUACAGCUUAACUGUAGAACUGCACUUGAAACUUCGAAUCUAGAGUAUGGGAGGGGGAGAUGGAAUUAGUGGUGUAGGGGUAAAAUCCGUAGAUAUCACUAGGAAUACCUAAAGCGAAGGCGAUCUCCUGGAACAUUACUGACGCUAAGGCGUGAAAGCGUGGGGAGCAAACAGGAUUAGAUACCCGGGUAGUC
rnacentral:rRNA from 1 species